rnacentral:rRNA from 1 species
GAUGAACGCUGGCGGCGUGCUUAACACAUGCAAGUCGAACGGAAAGGCUCCUGCUUGUAGGGGUACUCGAGUGGCGAACGGGUGAGUAACACGUGGGUGAUCUGCCCUGCACUUCGGGAUAAGCUUGGGCAACUGGGUCUAAUACCGGAUAGGACGUUGGUUUGGAUGCUAUUCUGGAGAGUUUUUCGGUGUGGGAUGAGCUCGCGGCCUAUCAGCUUGUUGGUGGGGUAAUGGCCUACCAAGGCGUAGACGGGUAGCCGGCCUGAGAGGGUGUACGGCCACAUUAGGACUGAGAUACGGCGCAGACUCGUAUGGGAGGCAGCGGUGGAGAGUAUUACACAGUGGGAGCAAGCCUGAUGCAGCGACGCCGCGUGGGGGAUGACGGCCUGCGGGUUGUGAACUCCUGUCGCUAGAGACGAAGCGCAAGUGACGGUACCUGGAGAAGAAGCACCGGCUAACUACGUG